GUCAACUAACCCCCACUUGAAGAAGUGGUAGCUUGGAGAAGAAAUUCUUUGAAGCCCUAGUUGACUAGCCUAAGUAGCGAAAAAAAUACUACGUUGGAUUGCAUGUAGAAACCCAAGAAUGAUGCUCUAGUUUUUGGCUCUUUCGUGGCUCUGUAAAAGUUCUGAGGGUAAGGAACGGUCAACCACAUUGCGAAGGCUUUCCAACAUUGGCGAAGGGCAAAUAAA
rfam:Clostridium magnum DSM 2767 CLMAG_contig000002, whole genome shotgun sequence.